GGAAGGGAGGAAGCGUAGAAGGUGCCGAUGCACUUUUCCUCUCUCCAGCCCUCCUGACUGCUCCAAGAAUUUCAUCGAACAAGACUCAAAGAGGCCCAGCUGCUCUGCGUUUUGAUUCUUCUCCCUCUCUCAGUCCACACUGACCUGGGAGGGGCUUCUCAAACACCACAUUUCCUAGCAUGCUGUGAGAAGAGGACUGUGAGCUAAGAAGGGAGAAAAGCCAAAUAAAAACACAGACAAACCAACCAACCAAGCACUGACGAGCCAGUAAAGAGGGAACUGUGGGGGAAUCAGGGCUGAGAGAAUCUCUGAUACAGCAGCGGAAAUAGGAAUGGGCCCGCCUUGAUCACCUGGCUGUGCUCAGCUACUGGCUGGAGCUACCUAUGAAAGCCUCAGAGCAAAGACAUUGAUAGAUUUCAGAGCACUGUUGCUGGGCCCCGGUAUGAUUUUGCUUCCUGUCAUUGGAGGUCUGUGAGGCCCAUUCUUAGAGAUACGAGAAAUCGCUUCCCAUUAAAGUCUUAAAA
rnacentral:antisense_RNA from 1 species